rnacentral:rRNA from 1 species
AGUUGGUGGAGCGAUUUGUCUGGUUAAUUCCGAUAACGAACGAGACCUUAACUUGCUAAAUAGGAGUAUAAACAAUUUGUUUAUACCUCACUUCUUAGAAGGACUUUGCGUGUCUAAUGCAAGGAAGUUUCAGGCGAUAACAGG